GUAGGUUUAAAAAUAUCCAUCAUAUAUUUUUUUAUAAUUAAUUUUUGAUUAAUGUUUAUUUAUUAUAAAAUUUAGUUUUAUAUCAAAAUUAAUAUUUUAAUAUCUAAAAUAUUGUAAUAAUGAUAAAAUUAGUAUUUUAUAUAUAUAAAAUAUAGUAAUUCGGCAAAUAUUAUUUUCACCUGUUUAACAAAAACAUGUUCUUUUGUUUUAAAUAAAAGAUUUGGCCUGCUCUAUGAUUUAUUAAAUGGCUGCAGUAUUUUGACUGUACAAAGGUAGCAUAAUCAUUUGUCUCUUAAUUGGGGACUGGUAUGAAUGGUUGGAUGAGAAAUAUACUUUCUUUAUUUUAUAUAAAUAAAUUGAUUUUUUAGUUAAAAAGCUAAAAUUAUUUUAUAGGACGAGAAGACCCUAUAGAACUUUAUAUAUAAGUAUAUAUAUAAAUUAUAUAUUUUUAUAUUUAUAUAUAUAUUAAUAUAUUAUGUUGGGGUGACAAAAAAAAUUAUAUAACUUUUUUUAUAUAUAACAUAUAUGGAUGUUUUUUUGAUCCUUUAUUAUGGAAAAUAAGAUUAAGUUACCUUAGGGAUAACAGCGUUAUUUUUUCGGAGAGUUCAUAUCGAUGAAAAAGUUUGCGACCUCGAUGUUGGAUUAAAAUAAGUUACAGGGGUAUAAUAUUGUAUACUAGGUCUGUUCGACCUUUAAAUUUUUACAUGAUCUGAGUUCAGACCGGCGUGAGCCAGGUCGGUUUCUAUCCUUAAAUUAAUAUAAAAUUUUAGUACGAAAGGACCAAAUUUUAGGAAAAGUUUUUUCAAUUUGAUUAUUUUAAA
rnacentral:rRNA from 1 species